UGCAUUUUUGUCGUGGCAGAGGCUAAGGCAUGUGGUGCAGUGGUUCUGUAGCUUCUCGUAGACGAGAUUUACCUCUAGCUCUCGACCAUCAUCGAACUCUAGAGUCGACUUCCUGAUAAGGGGUUGGAGACCGUUGAUGAAAACUCUCAUUCUAGUCAUGGUGUUUGUAAUCUCAGAGAGAUCGUAAGUUCCUAUAUCAUACGCAAUGCGCUCCAGUAUUUCUGUGGACCAGAGAUGCAAGGGAACGCCUUGAACUUGAAUCCAGAAAGGAAUCUGGUUGGGGAAAGCUGGGGACAAUGUCGGUUCCCAGCGUUGUAUUAUAACCAUCCAGUGGACGAAGUGGUAUGGUUGGUGAUCGAGGACUUUUAGUAGAUCUCUUUCUGAAGCGAAUUGGAACUGGAAGCAACCUUGGCCUAGGUCUGCACCUAUAGGUCUGCACCUAUAGGGCGAGAUUCACAUUUCCAAUGGUCAGAAAGGAAAGGGAUGAGAGACCAGAUGCGCUGCACUUUAGGGUUUGUCAUCCUCCCCACCAGUGUGAGAGCAUGUUUCUUGAUGAGUUCAGAGCUAUCAAAAUUUGGGACUUUGACUCGUGCCGUACGUGGAGGGGAAGAGGGCUCAGCAGGGGCUUUCCCUUUCUCCGCAUAAGACAUUCUUCUUUGCAUUGUGGCAGGCAGAAGAAGCUAAAGAUUUCUUCAGAGGGUAGCAGAUACACUGUUCUUCUUGAUGGAAACAAGAGAGGUUGAGUGUAGCGAAAAACUUGAGAUUCUGUCAAACAGCUGGAAUCUGGAUCUUGGCGACUUAACUGUUGUGAGCUGGCUGAGGAAGCUUAUUUGUUGAUCUGAGGGCCAUCGCCGGAGAUCAGAGGGGAAGAAACGGUCCCGCCGACCCUAUAAAACUCUAAAUUAGUUUUUUCAUACAAUGGGGUUUGCUUCUUUUUUUGCUUGUGCAGCUAUCCAUAUGGUCACGAGGAGCUUGCUAUCUGCCAAGACAUAGAUCAGGCCUGUCACUGACUUCAACGAGAUUGUACACCACUUUACUGAGUGUAUGUAUGUCCACAUGUACAACACCAAGCCACAUGUAUUAGCCUAUCCUUCACCAUUAUUUCAAGCAUUGUUCCACAGCCUAAAACUUGUUAUAUACUAACCUCAAUUACUUUUUGUCAUUUUUAUUUCAAUAUUUUAUGUAUGUUUUUCUUUAA